CUGUCAACCUCGGCUCCAUGACGCCCCCCUGUGUCUCCGCCUCUCUGCUCCUCGGUCGGUCCUGGUAUCGAGUCGCCUCUCUGUUCCUCCAUCGGUCCUGGUGUAGAGACGACACCCAGUUCCCCCGUCGAUCUCUUCCCCGAGUCUCUCCCCCCGUCGACGGGGGAUCGACGGGAGAUCGACGAUCCCCCGUCGAUCUCUCCGUGCCUUCAUCGGUCCCGACCCCAAGAAGCCUCCACGUCCGAUUCUGUUAUGAUGCGAAAUCCAACAAAAACCUUGGUCUUUAAGGACAUUUUCCACCAAUGUCACACUUUCUGAUGGGAAACGGUUCACAGAAAAACUGCUCAGACUGGACGGUUCAGCCCAUGUGAUCCCUAUUGAACCGGGUGAUGUUUGCCAUCUGUGUGUUUUCAGUUGAGCUGGUCUGGUGUCAAAACUCUUCCUUUUUUCCCUCUCCAGUGAGAACGGGCAGCUCGGCUUAGCGCUGGCCCACCCGCCCACAUCGCUCAUUCAUCUGAAUAACCUUGUGGGCGUACGUUUUUAUUCCAGCAGCAACACCAGUUUAGAAAAGAAGGAGGCAAAAACAACAGAAAAACAAAGCUAGAGGUAGGGACCCCAUGUGUCUUGGUGAGUGUGAGUUAUGACCGUCGUGUCAUCGAUGGAGGGGGGAGG